CCUACGGGAGUCAGCAGUGAGGAAUAUUGGUCAAUGGGCGGAAGCCUGAACCAGCCAAGUAGCGUGCAGGCUGACGGCCCUACGGGUUGUAAACUGCUUUUAUACGGGAAUAACGCGCCUUACGUGUAGGGCUUUGCAUGUACCGUAUGAAUAAGGACCGGUUAAUUCCGUGCAAGCAGCCGCGGUAAUACGGAAGGUCCGGGCGUUAGCCGGAUUUAUUGGGUUUAAAGGGAGCGUAGGCCGCAUGUCAAGCGUGCUGUGAAAUGUCCGGGCUCAACCCGGGCCUUGCAGCGCGAACGGGCGUGCUUGAGUCCGCGGAAAGCAGGCGGAAUUCGUCGGGUAGCGGUGAAAUGCUUAGAUAUGACGAAGAACCCCGAUUGCGAAGGCAGCUUGCUGCAGCGUAACUGACGCUGAUGCUCGAAAGCGCGGGUAUCGAACAGGAUUAGAUACCCCAGUAGUC
rnacentral:rRNA from 1 species